AGAAUCAACGCUGGCGGCGUGCCUAACACAUGCAAGUCGAACGAGAAAGUGGAGCAAUCCAUGAGUAAAGUGGCGACCGGGUGAGUAACACGUGACUAACCUACCUUCGAGUGGGGGAUAACCUCGGGAAAACCGGGGCUAAUACCGCAUAAUAUCCACGGAUCAAAGGAGCAAUUCGCUUGAAGAGGGGGUCGCGGCUGAUUAGUUAGUUGGCGGGGUAAUGGCCCACCAAGACAAUGAUCGGUA
rnacentral:rRNA from 1 species